rnacentral:rRNA from 1 species
UCCAGACUCCUACGGGAGGCAGCAGUGGGGGAUAUUGCACAAUGGGGGAAACCCUGAUGCAGCGACGCCGCGUGAGUGAAGAAGUAUUUCGGUAUGUAAAGCUCUAUCAGCAGGGAAGAAAAAAGACGGUACCUGACUAAGAAGCCCCGGCUAACUACGUGCCAGCAGCCGCGGUAAUACGUAGGGGGCAAGCGUUAUCCGGAUUUACUGGGUGUAAAGGGAGCGUAGACGGCAAUACAAGUCGGAAGUGAAAUACCCGGGCUCAACCUGGGAACUGCUUUGGAAACUGUAUGGCUGGAGUGCUGGAGAGGUAAGCGGAAUUCCUAGUGUAGCGGUGAAAUGCGUAGAUAUUAGGAGGAACACCAGUGGCGAAGGCGGCUUACUGGACAGUAACUGACGUUGAGGCUCGAAAGCGUGGGGAGCAAACAGGAUUAGAUACCCGUGUAC